rnacentral:rRNA from 1 species
AUACGGAGGAUGCGAGCGUUAUCCGGAUUUAUUGGGUUUAAAGGGAGCGCAGACGGGUCGUUAAGUCAGCUGUGAAAGUUUGGGGCUCAACCUUAAAAUUGCAGUUGAUACUGGCGUCCUUGAGUGCGGUUGAGGUGUGCGGAAUUCGUGGUGUAGCGGUGAAAUGCUUAGAUAUCACGAAGAACUCCGAUUGCGAAGACAGCACACUAAUCCGUAACUGACGUUCAUGCUCGAAAGUGUGGGUAUCAAACAGGAUUAGAUACCCUGGUAGUCCACACGGUAAACGAUGGAUACUCGCUGUUGGCGAUAUACUGUCAGCGGCUUAGCGAAAGCGUUAAGUAUCCCACCUGGGGAGUACGCCGGCAACGGUGAAACUCAAAGGAAUUGACGGGGGCCCGCACAAGCGGAGGAACAUGUGGUUUAAUUCGAUGAUACGCGAGGAACCUUACCCGGGCUUAAAUUGCAAAGGAAUAAUCUGGAAACAGAUUAGUCUUCGGACCUUUGUGAAGGUGCUGCAUGGUUGUCGUCAGCUCGUGCCGUGAGGUGUCGGCUUAAGUGCCAUAACGAGCGCAACCCUCGCCGCCAGUUACUAGCAGGUAAUGCUGAGGACUCUGGCGGGACUGCCAUCGUAAGAUGUGAGGAAGGUGGGGAUGACGUCAAAUCAGCACGGCCCUUACGUCCGGGGCUACACACGUGUUACAAUGGGCGGUACAGAAGGCAGCUACCUGGCGACAGGAUGCCAAUCCCUAAAGCCGCUCUCAGUUCGGACUGGAGUCUGCAACCCGACUCCACGAAGCUGGAUUCGCUAGUAAUCGCGCAUCAGCCACGGCGCGGUGAAUACGUUCCCGGGCCUUGUACACACCGCCCGUCAAGCCAUGAAAGCCGGGGGUACCUGAAGUGCGUAACCGCAAGGAGCGCCCUAGGGUAAAACCGGUAAUUGGGGCU